UAUUGGUAUGGUGAUUUUUUUUCAGGUAUUUCAAAUAAAUUAGAAGCAAAACUUUGGUUUAACGAUUAUGUAUAGUGAAGAAACAAUAAUGAACUACAAAAAUGUGAAUGGCUAUUACUUGACUUUGAAGAUAGAAGAGAAUCAUAGUUCUCCUAAUUCACAGAGAUAUACUAUAUCAUAUAAAAAUGAGAAAAUUAGUAGCUCCUGGGGCAUUGCAUCCUUAUUGCUAGCAAUACUUUUUAAUCUUGUGGCUGCAAUUUAUUUGAAUAUAACCCUAAUUGGGGUUGGGGUUCUAAUUGUUGUAGUGCUGACUCUGGUCUUCUCUUGGUUCACACACAGUGUUCAAUAUGAAAGCUUAUUAGUCAUACCAACUGUAGGUAUUCAGAGUUCAGUCAAAUACGUAGUAGGAAGAGUUGACAACUUUAUACCAUGGUCCAGUAUUGAUGAUAUUAUUAUCAAUGAAGUUAUUGAAUUUAACAGAGUGCUGUAUCAUUUAACAAUUCUAGUGAAAACUGUUAGUGAUAAUACUGGUAGUAAAGAAAAACAUGAUGUCAAACUUAUAACGCUAUUUAAG